rnacentral:rRNA from 1 species
AUGACCACCGGCCGCGGCCACCGCGUUUCGCCGGCGGUUGCGGCGGGGCCGCUGGAGGAUGACAACGUCCUCGGCGAGAUCCUCGUCCGCCUCUCCCCGGAGCCAUCCUCCCUCCCGCGGGCGCUUGUCUGCAAGCCGUGGGGUCGCGUCGCCGCCUCCGCGGACUUCCGCCGCAGCUGGCGCGACCGCCACGGGAGACCCCCGGUCCUGGGCGUCUUCGAGAAGCGCAUGACGACUCUGCUCUUCACCCCUGGCCUGCAAGCUCCAGAUCGCAUCCCCAUGGAGCGCUUCUCCCUCCAGGUCUGCAGCGAGGCCGCGUGGAACACCUGGUGCGUGCUCGGGUGCCGCCAGGGGCGCGUCCUCAUCAUGAACUGGACGCUGCGUGAGUUCCUCAUCUACAACCCUUUCUCCGGUGAGCGCGACCGCGUGUCAUUCCCACCGGAUCUCUCACUCCCACAGGAUUUCUUCGACGACGCGUACAACGCCAACGGAGCUCUGCUCUGGGACGACGAGCAGCGCCCACUGAAGCUGGUCUUGGUAGCCUGCACGGGCCACUCGAGAGUUGCGGCCCGUGUGUACUCCUCUGAGACGGGCACAUGGGGAGACAGCAUCUCCAUUCCUGAGCCAUGUCGUCUUACCAGUGUCCCCGUCACUGUGGUCGGCAACCGCCUCUACUGUUGGCUCAAAAGGCCUGGGAAUAGCAUACUAGAGUUCAAUCUGGAUAACCAGACCCUAGCUCUCAUCACAAGGCCUCCCCGUGCCAACCUCAAGAGCCGCAACUGCCGGAUCAUCCCAGGAGAGGAUGGCGCUGUUGGCCUCGCCUUAUUCAUGUACCCUGCCAUCGAACUGUGGAACCGCAACAUCAACUCUCAUGGUGUUGCAACAUGGGUGCUGCGCAAGACCGUUAUUCUGGACAGCAUCUUUGAUCUGGCGCCGUCUUCAACGGGGCAAUGGAGGUCAUUAGUUCUCGGGUAUGCCGAGGAUGCUAAUGCCCUUCUUAUAUCGGUGUACAAAGAGAUGUGCAUCCGUGUAUUUACGGUUCAACUUGAGUCAAUGCAGUGCAAGAGAAUUCAUGGACACUUUCUCAAUGAUUUGUAUUAUCCGUUCGCCAGUUUCUAUGCCGCAGGCCCAUCGACGCUACAAAUUCUCGCUCGUGGGAACAACGAUGGGGGUGCUGGUGGGGGACAAGCGUAA